UCCUACCUCUUUGGGACCUCAUUGGGACCUC
rnacentral:piRNA from 1 species